rnacentral:rRNA from 1 species
AUUGAACGCUGGCGGCAUGCUUUACACAUGCAAGUCGGACGAGUGGCGUACGGGUGAGUAACAUAUCGGAACGUACCGGGGAAUGGGGGAUAACUAAUCGAAAGAUUAGCUAAUCACGCAUAGUAUUCGAUCGGCCGAUAUCUGAUUAGCUGGGUGGUGGGGUAAAGGCCUACCAAGGCGACGAGCAGUAGCGGGUCUGAGAGGAUGAUCCGCCACACUGGAACUGAGACACGGCCCAGACUCCUACGGGAGGCAGCAGUGGGGAAUUUUGGACAAUGGGCGAAAGCCUGAUCCAGCCAUGCCGCGUGUCUGAAGAAGGCCUUCGGGUUGUAAAGCACUUUUGUCAGGGAAGCGGUACCUGAAGAAUAAGCACCGGCUAACUACGUGCCAGCAGCCGCGGUAAUAC